GACAGAGGGGGCGAGCGUUGUCCGGAGUCACUGGGCGUAAAGCGCGCGCAGGCGGCAACCUAAGUUUCGUGUGAAAGCCCCCGGCUCAACCGGGGGAGGCCAUGGCAAACUGGGUCGCUCGAGCUGCGGAGAGGCCCCUCGAAGUGCCGGUGUAGCGGUGAAAUGCGUAGAGAUCGGCAGGAAGACCAAGGGGGAAGCCAGGGGGCUGGCCGCAGGCUGACGCUGAGGCGCGACAGCGUGGGGAGCAAACCGG
rnacentral:rRNA from 1 species